UACGUAGGGGCGAGCGUUAUCCGGAAUUAUUGGGCGUAAAGCGCGCGCAGGCGGCUGAUUAAGUCAGGUGUGAAAGCCCACGGCUUAACCGUGGAGGGUCAUUGGAAACUGAGGGACUUGAGUACAGAAGAGGAGAGUGGAAUUCCACGUGUAGCGGUGAAAUGCGUAGAGAUGUGGAGGAACACCAGUGGCGAAGGCGACUCUCUGGUCUGUAACUGACGCUGAGGUGCGAAAGCGUGGGUAGCAAACAGGAUUAGAUACCCU
rnacentral:rRNA from 1 species